GACGAAGGGGGCUAGCGUUGUUCGGAAUUACUGGGCGUAAAGCGCGUGUAGGCGGUUGUCCAAGUUGGAUGUGAAAGCCUUGAGCUUAACUCAAGAAAUGCAUUCAGGACUGGAUGACUAGAGGACCGGAGAGGAUAGUGGAAUUCCCAGUGUAGUGGUGAAAUACGUAGAGAUUGGGAAGAACACCAGUGGCGAAGGCGGCUAUCUGGACGGUUUCUGACGCUAAGGUGCGAAAGCGUGGGGAGCAAACAGG
rnacentral:rRNA from 1 species